UACGGGGGGGGCAAGCGUUGUUCGGAAUUACUGGGCGUAAAGCGUGCGCAGGCGGUUGUGCAAGACAGAUGUGAAAUCCCCGGGCUUAACCUGGGAACUGCAUUUGUGACUGCACGGCUAGAGUACGGCAGAGGGGGAUGGAAUUCCGCGUGUAGCAGUGAAAUGCGUAGAUAUGCGGAGGAACACCAAUGGCGAAGGCAGUCCCCUGGGCCUGUACUGACGCUCAUGCACGAAAGCGUGGGGAGCAAACAGG
rnacentral:rRNA from 1 species